GGUAUAAAAAUACUGCCUAUUAGCAUUUUUAGCACAUGUUCAAAUGAGAUAUGCUUGAGUGUUCGCAAAAACAAUAAUAAAAAAAUCUGAAAAGUGCCAUUGUCCCGGAGUGAUAAUCCUAGGAACGGGUCAUAGCUUUAAAAUAAGUUUUAGAUUCAUGCUUUAAUAAUGAUAUUUUUAUUCAAGUAGGUUAUAAUUCUAAUUUAUGUUUGUAAAUAUAUGACUUGAUGCGUUUUAACGGGCAUGCGCGUGAAGUUGAGUUGCCAUGGAAACGGAGGGUCACCAGUGCAGACAGCAAACUCCGACUCUCCCUGUUUUCACUGCUUUCAGAUCGUUCCAUGCUGAUGCCCUGCUCAGUAGCAGAGUUGAACUGGCCAUCAUCUGAACCUGGCAACCGGACACGCAAACACACACGCUCUUUUUUGAUAAUGAAAAUAAAAUUAUUUUGUUUCCUAAUA